AAACUAUCAAGGAUUCCCUGAGUAACGGCGAGCGAAAAGGGAAUAGCCCAGCGCCGAAUCUCUUGCCCUCCGGGCAAGAAGACAUGUGGCGUUUGGGACGAGGCUUUGCCUGUGCAGAAUGGUCAUCCAAGUCCCUCUUGAACGGGGCCAUAGCCCAUGGAGGGUGCUAGGCCCGUAUGAUGACUUUAUUGUGCAGUGCGUCUUGUCCGUAGAGUCGGGUUGCUUGGGAGUGCAGCCCAAAUCAGGUGGUAAACUCCAUCUAAGGCUAAAUAUGACCACGAGACCGAUAGCGAACAAGUACCGUGAGGGAAAGUUGAAAAGAACUUUGAAGAGAGAGUUAAAAAGUACGUGAAACCUCUCGGGGGUAAGCGGGCAGAACUUGCAAGUAUUGGCUGGGAACAUUCAGGCUUAGUGUUGGUGGCUUGUGGUGCACGUUUUGUUGCUCUUUCGGGAGUUGACUGCCGUGUGCUGCUUGUUCUGCUGACGAUGCGCCGCAUUUGUUCCUGUCAUCGGGUUGCAUGCGACUUGAUUGGUAGUUUAGGUGCUGGGUGUCUGCAAAUCCUUGUGGUUUGACCCUUGGUUUCCAACUGCUGUCGUGGUCGUUGAAAUUACGAGCAGGCGCUGGUCGCGGUCAAUAGAUUUCGCGAGUUGGGUGCUUAUGAUAUGUGGACGGGUAACCGUACCAUGUUGUCGGUACCUGCUGUCAGUGAGAUUUGUAUUUGGCAUUGCUCUGAUUGCAAUCUAAAGCAUGCG
rnacentral:rRNA from 1 species